GUGGAUGUAGCUCAAUGGCGGAGCCCCUGGUUGUGGUCCAGGUGGUUGUGGGUUCGAGUCCCAUCAUCCACCCCA
rnacentral:tRNA from 1 species